rnacentral:rRNA from 1 species
GAGUUUGAUCCUGGCUCAGAUUGAACGCUGGCGGCAGGCCUAACACAUGCAAGUCGAACGGUAGCACAGAGAGCUUGCUCUUGGGUGACGAGUGGCGGACGGGUGAGUAAUGUCUGGGAAACUGCCUGAUGGAGGGGGAUAACUACUGGAAACGGUAGCUAAUACCGCAUAACGUCGCAAGACCAAAGAGGGGGACCUUCGGGCCUCUUGCCAUCAGAUGUGCCCAGAUGGGAUUAGCUAGUAGGUGGGGUAAUGGCUCACCUAGGCGACGAUCCCUAGCUGGUCUGAGAGGAUGACCAGCCACACUGGAACUGAGACACGGUCCAGACUCCUACGGGAGGCAGCAGUGGGGAAUAUUGCACAAUGGGCGCAAGCCUGAUGCAGCCAUGCCGCGUGUAUGAAGAAGGCCUUCGGGUUGUAAAGUACUUUCAGCGAGGAGGAAGGCAAUACGGUUAAUAACCGUGUUGAUUGACGUUACUCGCAGAAGAAGCACCGGCUAACUCCGUGCCAGCAGCCGCGGUAAUACGGAGGGUGCAAGCGUUAAUC